AAUCCCGUUUUCCUCUUCUUCUCUUCAUCUCCUUUUCUCUCACCUAAGCGGCGGUAGUGGCGGAAGAAGGCAGCAACGGCGGCGAUUCAGCGGAGCCUCCUUCACCUCGGUUCGAGGUAAUCCUCUUCUCUCUUCAUUCUCAAUCCAGAGACAGCAGCGAAGGGGAAUCGAGACGCAGGGAUUCAUACGUCUCACCAUGGGUUCACGGUGGUUCUUGACCAAGAGCAAGGUGGCUCAGGAUUCGUUGACAUUAAAGUUUUCACACCUUGCAUUAAGGUGUGCCACAAGAUCUUUAUGAUGGUGUCUAUGAGAUCUCAGAUCGGAACCGAAGGGAACAAAGGGAUUUGAAUUGUGUUCACUGCUGCCCCUUGGUUGGUUUAGAGAGAUUAAUCAGCUUCAAAUCUUCCUUUACGGGUGUAUGAUCAAUUCCAAUGUUAGGGAAGGGAAGUUGAAUGAUGCUCUUUUUGGCCUAGUUGAUUUGAGGUCGUUGCCGGAAUUUAUAGGUCGUGCACUUCAUUCGACUAUUUAAAUACAUUCUGUGUCUUACGGCUAAAGAGCACAUUUUCUUUUGUAAGUUCAUGUGGGUUCUACUUUGGACAAGGCAUGUGAGGCUAUUGGUGAAGACUUGGUUGGUGCCAUGCCAAUCCCAUGCAGCAUCUCUGUCGAAGGGUGCUUGAUUAAGGAUGGAGAGUUUUUAUUUUUGUCCAUGUUGCUUUAUCCGUAGCACUAAGUUUAUAUUUGCUUUUAUGUGAGAAUGAGCAUGUAAGAAAUUAAUACAAACUUUAGACAAUCUUGUUUGAAGUAAAAGUAGCAUGUGACUCGUUAGCAAAGGAAAGUGAUAUCAUUCUCUUCUCUUUCUAGGAUUUGUAUUAUGUCAUCCCAUGGAAUUCACAUGGACUAAAGUAAGUACAAAUUGGAUUUGAGAUAAU